GACGAGGGGAGGGAGAGCAGCCUGGGGUGAGGUGUCGUGGGCUGCGCCUCGAGUGGGUGACGCCUGUGGGCCAAACGUGUGAGCGGACGUGUGAAGGUGAGAGCACGUGGGGAUGCAAGGCAAGCACGUGGUCCCCGCGCACACACUGAUCUUACUUGAUCUGGCUUUGGCCCCAGCAGGGCCGAACCGAGAUGAAAAGCUCCCGUCCUACAAAGCCCCUCCUUGGGGCUCCGUGCA